rnacentral:rRNA from 1 species
UACGUAGGGUGCAAGCGUUGUCCGGAAUUAUUGGGCGUAAAGAGCUCGUAGGCGGUUUGUCGCGUCUGCUGUGAAAUCCCGAGGCUCAACCUCGGGUCUGUAGUGGGUACGGGCAGACUAGAGUGUGGUAGGGGAGAUUGGAAUUCCUGGUGUAGCGGUGAAAUGCGCAGAUAUCAGGAGGAACACCGAUGGCGAAGGCAGGUCUCUGGGCAUUAACUGACGCUGAGGAGCGAAAGCAUGGGAGCGAACAGG